rnacentral:rRNA from 1 species
UUACACGUCUCGGGGGAGAAGCGGUUAUACGUAGGUGGCUAGCUGUUCUCCGGAUUUAAUGGGCGUAAAAGCGAGCGCGGGCGGUCUUUAAGUCUAAUGUGAAAGCUUUCGGCUCAACCGAAGAAGUGCAUUGGAAACUGGGAGACUUGAGUGCAGAAGAGGACAGUGGAACUCCAUGUGUAGCGUGAAAUGCGUAGAUAUAUGGAAGAACACCAGUGGCGAUGGCGGCUGUCUGGUCUGUAACUGACGCUGAGGCUCGAAAGCAUGGGUAGCGAACAGGAUUAGAUACCCUGGUAGUCCAUGCCGUAAACGAUGAUUACUAAGUGUUGGAGGGUUUCCGCCCUUCAGUGCUGCAGCUAACGCAUUAAGUAAUCCGCCUGGGGAGUACGACCGCAAGGUUGAAACUCAAAAGAAUUGACGGGGGCCCGCACAAGCGGUGGAGCAUGUGGUUUAAUUCGAAGCUACGCGAAGAACCUUACCAGGUCUUGACAUCUUCUGCCAACCUAAGAGAUUAGGCGUUCCCUUCGGGGACAGAAUGACAGGUGGUGCAUGGUUGUCGUCAGCUCGUGUCGUGAGAUGUUGGGUUAAGUCCCGCAACGAGCGCAACCCUUAUUACUAGUUGCCAGCAUUCAGUUGGGCACUCUAGUGAGACUGCCGGUGACAAACCGGAGGAAGGUGGGGACGACGUCAAAUCAUCAUGCCCCUUAUGACCUGGGCUACACACGUGCUACAAUGGAUGGUACAACGAGUCGCGAAACCGCGAGGUUUAGCUAAUCUCUUAAAACCAUUCUCAGUUCGGACUGUAGGCUGCAACUCGCCUACACGAAGUCUGAAUCGCUAGUAUCGCGAUCCUUCUAC